rnacentral:rRNA from 1 species
GUGGGAGUUAACUGGCAGUUCGGGGGGCAUCGGGUGGGAAGCAUGCUUUUCCCUGCCGGCGACCGGCGCACGGGUGAGUAACACGUAUGCAACCCGCCCUCUUCAGGGGGACAACCUUCCGAAAGGGAGGCUAAUCCCGCGUAUAUCGGUUUCGGGCAUCCGGGAUCGAGGAAAGAUUCAUCGGAAGAGGAUGGGCAUGCGGCGCAUUAGCUUGACGGCGGGGUAACGGCCCACCGUGGCGACGAUGCGUAGGGGUUCUGAGAGGAAGGUCCCCCACACUGGUACUGAGACACGGACCAGACUCCUACGGGAGGCAGCAGUGAGGAAUAUUGGUCAAUGGGAGAGAUCCUGAACCAGCCAAGCCGCGUGAGGGAAGACGGCCCUAUGGGUUGUAAACCUCUUUUGUCGGAGAACAAAACCCGGGACGUGUCCCGGACUGCGUGUAUCCGAAGAAAAAGCAUCGGCUAACUCCGUGCCAGCAGCCGCGGUAAUACGGAGGAUGCGAGCGUUAUCCGGAUUUAUUGGGUUUAAAGGGUGCGUAGGCGGUCCGUUAAGUCAGCGGUAAAAUUGCGGGGCUCAACCCCGUCGAGCCGUUGAAACUGGCAGACUUGAGUUGGCGAGAAGUACGCGGAAUGCGCGGUGUAGCGGUGAAAUGCAUAGAUAUCGCGCAGAACUCCGAUUGCGAAGGCAGCGUACCGGCGCCAGACUGACGCUGAGGCACGAAAGCGUGGGGAUCGAACAGGAUUAGAUACCCUGGUAGUCCACGCAGUAAACGAUGAAUGCUGGUUGUCCGGGUCGAAUCACUAGUGAAU